AACGGUUAAAAUGAUACGCGGAAUAAGCGAACUUGCAGCCGAUCUAAUGUCAACACUGCACUGUCACUUUGUUCGAUCACUGAAAUCCAAUUGCAUCUUCCAAGACCGCCGCUCGAUGACUGGCGGGCCGGGCGCGCGCCGUUCGUUUGGUCGGAUAUUCAUGACGCGGGGCUGGCGGGGCGCGGUGCGGGACGCGCGGGGUAGCUAUGAACGCCUUCUUUGAAUGGUAGUGUAAUAUUGAAAUGUAUGAAUGAAAUAAAUAAACAUUGUGAUUUAUUUUAA